UAGAACUAUAAUGGCAUUUUUCUCACAAACGCCACAAAAGUAAGUAAUACGGGCGUUUUUUAUAAAUGCCGCGAAUAUCUAUUAAAUUUUAUUGAAACGACGCUAUUUUGAUAACCCUGAAAUCCCUUAGUUUUUUUCCCAAAUCAGUUCCUCCCUGAAAUCUCUAAAAUUUUCCCCCAAAUCCCUUACUUUUUUUCCCAACAUCUUUUCCCCAAAUCAGUUCCCCUCCCCUAAAUCCUUAACUUUUUUCCCCAAUGUCUGCUGCAUUGCCGUCGACAGUCCUCUGCUACAUCGCCGUCAAUAGUCCUCUGCUGCGUCGCCGUAAACAGCAACCAAAAAUUUCUCACCGCUGUUCUCUUUGCUGAAACCAAAAAAUUCUGAUCAAGAAAGAAAGAAUUCAGAUUUAGAUCAGGGGAAAAGCAAGGUUAUUGAGUAGUCGACCCGAUCCGUCAAUUUUGUAUACGAGUUCUGCAAAGCUAGCUCGAAUUUGGGGACCGUCAAAGACUUUAUCGCAUUAUCGAUCAUCUAUUUUGGUACUUUUGAAGUUAUGUACAUAUGGUAUAUGGCAUGUAUAAACUUCGGUCAUUUUGGUAUGUUUGAUGGAUAUGUAUUUUGGCCAUUUGAGUUGGCAUAAAAUGAUGAACUUGUUGAUGCUUAUGAAUGUGCAAAUAGUUCUACUUUUAAUGUUUGGUAAUAGACCUAUAAUGAAUGAAUGGAAUUGAACUA